rnacentral:rRNA from 1 species
UACAGAGGGGGCGAGCGUUGUUCGGAAUUACUGGGCGUAAAGGGCGCGUAGGCGGCCAACUAAGUCAGACGUGAAAUCCCUCGGCUCAACCGGGGAACUGCGUCUGAUACUGGAUGGCUUGAAUUCGGGAGAGGGAUGCGGAAUUCCAGGUGUAGCGGUGAAAUGCGUAGAUAUCUGGAGGAACACCGGUGGCGAAGGCGGCAUCCUGGACCGAGAUUGACGCUGAGGCGCGAAAGCUAGGGUAGCAAACGGG